UCCCUGGUGGCUCAGAUGGUAAAGCAUCUGUCUGCAAUGCAGGAGACCAGGGUUUGAUCCCUGAGUUGGGAA
rnacentral:tRNA from 1 species